CUAGGCUCCCACACCGCAUGUAUUCUUGGGUUAAUCUGCUUAUUCCUGGCUCCAGGUGUUGAUAACCUACACAACUGGGUACUCUCCUCCUGAAGUAUCAGCCUCGAGCCAUUUGUGGUCCCGUCUCACCAAGACACUAGCAUCUGAGCCCCAGCCAUCGGCAAGUUAGAUGUGGCCAUGUGAGUAUGUGGCCAGUGGAAUGUGACCACAAGCGACUCUACUAAAGCAACGAAAAGCCGGUGCAUGACACUCCAGGCUUUCUUCUGCUUUGCUGGCCAAGACAGCCCUGGGAUCCACAAAGUGCAGUCACAACACGGCAGUGCCUCCAUCACCCAGGUGACCACAUGGAGCGGAGGUGUCCAAAAUUCCACUAUAAAGAAGAAACUUGGAAGGAGGAAUUGGAAACCAACCCCCCCCCCCCCUUCCCC